rnacentral:rRNA from 1 species
AGGGUUUGAUUAUGGCUCAGGACGAACGCUGGCGGCGGGCCCUAUGCAUGCAAGUCGAACGCACUCGACCUUCGGGUCAUAUGAGUGAGUGGCGAACGGGUGAGUAACACGUGAGAAACCUGCCCCGAAGACUGGAACAACCCGGGGAAACUCGGGCUAAUACCGGAUACCCCCAACUAAUCGCAUGGUUAGUUGAGGAAAUGCUCCGGCGCUUCGGGAGGGUCUCGCGGCCUAUCAGCUAGUUGGUGAGGUAACGGCUCACCAAGGCAACGACGGGUAGCUGGUCUGAGAGGACGAUCAGCCACACUGGGACUGAGACACGGCCCAGACUCCUACGGGAGGCAGCAGCAGGGAAUCUUGCGCAAUGGGCGAAAGCCUGACGCAGCCACGCCGCGUGAGGGAUGAAGGCUCUAGGGUCGUAAACCUCUUUCAGCAGGGAAGAAAAUGACGGUACCUGCAGAAGAAGCUCCGGCCAACUACGUGCCAGCCGCCGCGGUAAUAC